rnacentral:rRNA from 1 species
CACUCCUACGGGAGGCAGCAGUGGGGAAUUUUGGACAAUGGGCGAAAGCCUGAUCCAGCAAUGCCGCGUGAGUGAAGAAGGCCUUCGGGUUGUAAAGCUCUUUUGUCAGGGAAGAAACGGUGAGAGCUAAUAUCUUUUGCUAAUGACGGUACCUGAAGAAUAAGCACCGGCUAACUACGUGCCAGCAGCCGCGGUAAUACGUAGGGUGCAAGCGUUAAUCGGAAUUACUGGGCGUAAAGCGUGCGCAGGCGGUUUUGUAAGUCUGAUGUGAAAUCCCCGGGCUCAACCUGGGAAUUGCAUUGGAGACUGCAAGGCUAGAAUCUGGCAGAGGGGGGUAGAAUUCCACGUGUAGCAGUGAAAUGCGUAGAUAUGUGGAGGAACACCGAUGGCGAAGGCAGCCCCCUGGGUCAAGAUUGACGCUCAUGCACGAAAGCGUGGGGAGCAAACAGGAUUAGAAACCCGGGUAGUCC